rnacentral:rRNA from 1 species
AUUGAGCGCUGGCGGCAGGCUUAACACAUGCAAGUCGAGCGGGGAAGGUUGCUUUGGUAACUGACCUAGCGGCGGACGGGUGAGUAAUGCUUAGGAAUCUGCCUAUUAGUGGGGGACAACAUUCCGAAAGGAAUGCUAAUACCGCAUACGCCCUACGGGGGAAAGCAGGGGAUCUUCGGACCUUGCGCUAAUAGAUGAGCCUAAGUCGGAUUAGCUAGUUGGUGGGGUAAAGGCCUACCAAGGCGACGAUCUGUAGCGGGUCUGAGAGGAUGAUCCGCCAAACUGGGACUGAGACACGGCCCAGACUCCUACGGGAGGCAGCGGUGGGGAAUAUUGGACAAUGGGCGGAAGCCUGAUCCAGCCAUGCCGCGUGUGUGAAGAAGGCCUUUUGGUUGUGAAGCACUUUAAGCGAGGAGGAGGCUCCUUUAGUUAAUACCUAAAGAGAGUGGACGUUACUCGCAGAAUAAGCACCGGCUAACUCUGUGCCAGCCGCCGCAGUAA